UUGACCUCGGAUCAGGUAGGGAUACCCGCUGAACUUAAGCAUAUCAAUAAGCGGAGGAAAAGAAACCAACAGGGAUUGCCCUAGUAACGGCGAGUGAAGCGGCAACAGCUCA
rnacentral:rRNA from 2 species